AUGCAGUUUAGGCAGUCUGUUAUAGGUGAGCGGUGGGAUAGAUGGCUACAUCUUGUGCGUAGGUUAAUGGAGGUUAACCUUUUGGAUGUACCAGACACUCUGCAAUGGAAACUUUCUAGGUCAGGAGUCUUCUCGGUUAAAUCCAUGUACACGGAUUUGAUUAAUAUCGGGACUAUCCCGAGGACGGUUCAUAUUUGGAAAAUUAAGGCGCCAAUGAAAAUAAAAGUAUUUAUGUGGUUUGUGCAUAAGGGUGUCAUUCUUACUAAAGAUAACUUAGCUAAGCGUAAGUGGGAAGGAAGUAAAAGAUGUUGCUUUUGUGAUUAG
rnacentral:rRNA from 1 species